UUGCUUUAGUAGCAAACAUACUAAACUUGGAAAGAUACAGAGAAAAUUAGCCUGGGCUUUGCAUAAGAAUGAUAUGCACAUUUAUGAACAAUUCUGUUUUUUU
ensembl:snRNA U6 U6 spliceosomal RNA